UUUAGAUUUCAUAUCUUAACCUUGUUAUAGUUUUAAUCUUGCUUUAUAAAUGGAUUGAGUACUUGUUUUUUUUAUGGAAAUUAAUCCUAAAAUAUCCUAGAUUCUCUCUCAAGGUAUCUAAGGUGAAUUUCAAUUAGAGCCAAACCCUACUUUCAUUGGUGAUUAGUCCUGUCACACUUUACCCCUCUGUAAGGCAUAACAUAUCCCGUAAAAUACCUAAUGAACUAUCGAACUUCACCUACCGAUAACUCA
rnacentral:misc_RNA from 1 species